AUGCACGCUGGCGGCGUGCCUAAUACAUGCAAGUCGAGCGAACGGACGAGAAGCUUGCUUUUCUGAUGUUAGCGGCGGACGGGGGAGUAACACGUGGAUAACCUACCUAUAAGACUGGGAUAACUUCGGGAAACCGGAGCUAAAAACGGAUAAUAUUUUGAACCGCAUGGUUCAAAAGUGAAAGACGGUCUUGCUGUCACUUAUAGAUGGAUCCGCGCUGCAUUAGCUAGUUGGUAAGGUAACGGCUUACCAAGGCAACGAUGCAUAGCCGACCUGAGAGGGUGAUCGGCCACACUGGAACUGAGACACGGUCCAGACUCCUACGGGAGGCAGCAGUAGGGAAUCUUCCGCAAUGGGCGAAAGCCUGACGGAGCAACGCCGCGUGAGUGAUGAAGGUCUUCGGAUCGUAAAACUCUGUUAUUAGGGAAGAACAUAUGUGUAAGUAACUGUGCACAUCUUGACGGUACCUAAUCAGAAAGCCACGGCUAACUACGUG
rnacentral:rRNA from 1 species